AGUGCUUUUAUUAGAACAAAAACCGAACGGCGUUCGACUUGUGUUGAACGUCGAAACUCUUUGGUGAAUCUGAAUAACUAUUUCUGAUCGCAUGGUCUAGCACCGGCGACAUCACUUUCAAGUGUCUGCCUUAUCAACCUUCGAUGGUAGUCUAUGCGACUACCAUGGUGAUAACGGGUAACGGAGAAUCAGGGUUCGACUCCGGAGAGGGAGCCUGAGAAACGGCUACCACAUCCAAGGAAGGCAGCAGGCGCGCAAAUUACCCACUCCCAGCUUGGGGAGGUAGUGACGAAAAAUAACGAGACGAUUCUCGUUUGAGAAACGUUAUCGAAAUGAGUACGCUUUACACACGCUAACGAGUAGCAAUUGGAGGGCAAGUCUGGUGCCAGCAGCCGCGGUAAUUCCAGCUCCAAUAGCGUAUAUUAAAGUUGCUGCGGUUAAAACGCUCGUAGUUGAAUUGUGGUCUUAGACAACAGUCCCCCUAUAUAGGUGUGGCACGGUUGCUCGAGAUCUUCAUUCGUGGUUGCUGUUGUUGCUCUUCAUUGAGUGUCAAUGGUGCCUCGAGAUUUUACUUUGAAAAAAUUAGAGUGCUCAAAGCAGGUUGUGAUGCCUGAAUAAUGGUGCAUGGAAUAAUAGAAUACGAUCUCGGUUCUAUUUUGUUGGUUUUCGAACCGGAGAUAAUGAUUGUUUCAUUAAUCAAGAACGAAAGUUAGAGGUUCGAAGGCGAUCAGAUACCGCCCUAGUUCUAACGGUAAACUAUGCCAACCAGCGAUUCGCCGAAGUUCAUUUAAGACUCGGCGAGCAGCUUCCGGGAAACCAAAGUGUUUCGGUUCCGGGGGAAGUAUGGUUGCAAAGCUGAAACUUAAAGGAAUUGACGGAAGGGCACCACCAGGAGUGGAGCCUGCGGCUUAAUUUGACUCAACACGGGAAAACUCACCCGGCCCGGACACUGAAAGGAUUGACAGAUUGACAGCUCUUUCUUGAUUCAGUGGGUAGUGGUGCAUGGCCGUUCUUAGUUGGUGGAGCGAUUUGUCUGGUUAAUUCCGAUAACGAACGAGACUCUACCCUAUUAAAUAGUGACAGUAUUGCAUAUUCUGUGCUGAUCACUUCUUAGAGGGACUGGCAAAUUGAAAGCUGCACGAAAAAGAGCAAUAACAGGUCUGUGAUGCCCUUCGAUGUCCGGGGCUGCACGCGCGCUACAAUGAAAGCGUCAACGUGAGUUACGUCCUUACCUGAAAAGGUUUGGCAAUCGAUUGAAACGUUUUCUUGAAUGGAAUAGGGAAUUGCAAUUGUUUCCCUUGAACGAGGAAUUCCCAGUA
rnacentral:rRNA from 1 species